GGCCUCCCUCUGUGGGGCGAUCGAUCAUGGGGCUCCACGAUAGAUCGCCCAGCAAAGGGAGGCC
rfam:Myotis lucifugus cont2.27478, whole genome shotgun sequence.